UUUUUUGCUACCAUUUAUGAUGACGACCUGGUCAUGAAUGCACAGGUGGGGAUAGCAAUGAGAAGGGUGGAGGUGGUUCUAGGGGAAGCAUCUUUAUAAAGGCUGCAACGAUGUUUAACACUUCUACAUUCAUUGGAGAUCUGCAUGCCAAAGAUGUACUACAUGUUACUUCUAUAGCAAUGCUAGGGAUAGUUCUUCAUACAAUGUCUAGAGGGCAGGGAUUUUGUGGAGUAUGUGUGCCGGUGUCCAAAUGGCAGCAACGAGGUGUGAUGGUCUCUCAAGCAUCAACAUGGGAUAAAAUGAACAAAGAGAGCCAUGUGUGCAAGCGGGAUGCAUGGUGGAUCAGUAUAUAUAUUACCAACACAAGGAGAUUUAGUCCAAACAAGAUGUAUUUCUAUCGUAGUAGUACAUAAUAUCUACCUUUUCGUCUAUGUAUUCUAUAAGGGCAACGUAUCAUAUGCACCAGCUUCGUGUGCAACCUAUGCAACCACCAAUUAAGGUCACAUGAUCUAGAUCUAACGUCUGAGGAUUUUUUCACUUAAACCCCUCCACCUGUGGGUUUAAAUCUAACCCGUGUGUAUCUAGAUGGGAGGGUUUAAAUGAAAAAACCUCAGACGUUGGAUUUAGAUCUUGUGGCCUUAAUUGAUAGUUGCAUAGGUUGCACACGAAGCUGGGUUACACAGGAUACGUUCCCUUCUAUAAGAAGCCUGAGUUGCUAUACAAAACAUCUCAAGGUGCCCAAAAUGACAUAUGUGGAUUGUUAUACGAAAUAUCUCAAGAUGUCCAAAAUGUCAUGUGUGAUGAAUAGUUUAUAUUUGAUUUCGGCUUAUUUUGGUGAAUGUAUCAAAUUUGUAAUAUUUGGGAUAUGAGCUAAAUAA